UACGAAGGGGGCUAGCGUUGCUCGGAAUCACUGGGCGUAAAGCGCACGUAGGCGGAUCGUUAGGUCGGAGGUGAAAUCCUGGAGCUCAACUCCAGAACUGCCUUCGAUACUGGCGAUCUUGGAGUCCGGGAGAGGUGAGUGGAACUCCGAGUGUAGAGGUGAAAUUCGUAGAUAUUCGGAAGAACACCAGUGGCGAAGGCGGCUCACUGGCCCGGUACUGACGCUGAGGUGCGAAAGCGUGGGGAGCAAACAGG
rnacentral:rRNA from 1 species